CGNNCAUGCACGAAAGCGUGGGGAGCAAACAGGAUUAGACANNCNNNUAGUNNACGCCCUAAACGAUGUCGACUAGUUGUUGGGGGCUAUAUGCCCUUAGUAACGCANNNAACGCGUGAAGUCGACCGCCUGGGGAGUACGGCCGCAAGGUUAAAACUCAAAGGAAUUGACGGGGACCCGCACAAGCGGUGGAUGAUGUGGUUUAAUUCGAUGCAACGCGAAGAACCUUACCUACCCUUGACAUGUACCGAACCCCGCAGAGAUGUGGGGGUGCUCGAAAGAGAGCGGUAACACAGGUGCUGCAUGGCUGUCGUCAGCUCGUGUCGUGAGAUGUUGGGUUAAGUCCCGCAACGAGCGCAACCCUUGCCACUAAUUGCCACCAUUCAGUUGGGCACUUUAGUGGGGCUGCCGGUGACAAACCGGAGGAAGGUCGGGACGACGUCAAGUCCUCAUGGCCCUUAUGGGUAGGGCUACACACGUCAUACAAUGGCGCAUACAGAGGGUCGCCAACCCGCGAGGGGGAGCUAAUCUCAGAAAGUGCGUUGUAGUCCGGAUUGCUCUCUGCAACUCGAGAGCAUGAAGUCGGAAUCGCUAGUAAUCGCGGAUCAGAAUGCCGCGGUGAAUACGUUCCCGGGUCUUGUACACACCGCCCGUCACACCAUGGGAGUGGGUUUCACCAGAAGCAGCUAGCCUAACCGCAAGGAGGGCGGCUACCACGGUGAGAUUCAUGACUGGGGUGAAGUCGUAACAAGGUAACCAAGGGCGAA
rnacentral:rRNA from 1 species